CCCACGCAGCUCACUGGGUUUUUGCUCUGGCUGCUGGCACUUUUUAUUUCAACUACGUCUGACGAAGGAUUUAGAUUUUCUGCAGAACACACCAAGCCGACGAACUAGCGCUGAUGAAAGCCAACUGUUGUCGCCUCGCGUCGGGAUUAGUGCUGAGUUUAUGCGCCUGGUUUCUACUGAUCUCCACCAGUCUUUCUUUGAUGGACUCGACAAGUAUGUCCCAAGUUUGUUACAGAUGUACAGACUACGAACUAGUAGCAGUUCUGACCUGCGCAGUCUCCUGGAGCCCCUUGAUGUACAAAACCAGAAGAGAAGAGUCGCUGCUUUGCUCGGACUUCCAUAUUACCUAAAGGAGGAUCCCAACAGUUUUAUCCGGGUCUGUGAGACUACCGAUUCCCGAGAAAGAGGACCACAAUGGUCUUCUCAUUGUGACUGAGGAAGGCGGGAGCAGCCAAGCAAUACUGGCAAAGGAGAUAGUCAAUAUCGCAGUUGUGCUGGAAGAGAACAUCAUCAUACGUGAGCUAGGAGAUGUUGCUAAUGCUUUUUCCUCACUCAUGGGUCUUCUUUACUGUCUUGACAUAGACUAUCCCAAGGUAGUGAAGAAUACAUUUGAGACUAUUCAAUAAGUUGUCAUGGGAAUCGGCAGUGGCAAUUGUUCUGCAAAAGUGGACGGACUCUGCAACAAGUUGCUUCAGUGCAAAGUUUAGUGUUUAGUGGCCAAGUUAAUGGCAACAGCAGUUUCACUAAAGACUUCACACCGCCAUUUCCAUAUCUACUACAUGGUUCGAAAACUAAACAAAGAGGAAUGUAUAAGUUAAAGAAUAAAGUUUAAUGCAGAGGUUCUAAAAAUGUUAGUAAAAUGACAUUGUUCAGUUAAUCUGCUCAGAGAUAACUUACUACCAAUAUGUUUGUGCAAUUUAAAAACAGCACUUAAGCCAGUUAGCUUUAUAUUUCAUAUUGAUAUAUUUCUAUUUUUGUAUACUAGAGCUCGCUUGCAUAAAUUUUUUAGAUGACUGUUUAUGUAAAAUGUUAUGAAAUGUCGAUUUUGAGCUGUUUACGGUUAACAAAACGCUUGCAAUUAACUACAGCACUUAAGCCAGUAAGCGUUUAAAUACAGCACUUAAGCCAGUUAGCGUUAUAUUUCUGAUUUAUAUAUUUCUAUUUUUGUGUACUAGAGCUCAUUUGCAUAAUUGUUUUUGAUAAAUGUUCAUGUAACAUGUUAUGAAAUGUCAAUUGUUCAGCUGGUACUGAAACACUUGUAAUUAAUGGUAAGGUGUUUUAACAUCAAGUACAUUAAUGAUAAUUUGUAUGUGUUAGUGUUAGAAAACAGAGACUUAAGUUGUGUGGGCAAAUGACGCAGUUCAGUCUGUUGAAUGAAUUUAACAUUCUAACUUAAACUAACUAUUCUUGAAAAAGUAACCUGGCUGCCUUAAAAAAAUAAGUUAAUUCAACAAAAUGUAUAGUUCAGCCUAUUUUUAUGUUGUUUGCACAACUAAUAAUUACAAGUUGAUUUAACAAGAUGCUUAGUGUAAACAACUCUAACAGAAAUGUUUCUUGGUGCCACUAAUUUUAUGUUGUCUCAACUGGGAUUUAGGUUUACACGACUUUUAAUGACUCGUUGGAGUAACUAAAAAACAAAUUCAUUAAACUUAAAUUAAAGUUGAUCAGA